UCCCUAUACGUAUUUAGCUGCAACAACAUAGGCAUUUCCCAAGUUUCACAGUCCAUUGGUUAGAUGACCACCACCACCAGUGGCGGCCAGCCGCCACAACCAUCGGCCGAACCCCAGCUGAUCCCAGACCUCCCAGAUGACGUGUCCAUCAACUGCCUAUCAAGAAUCCCCAGAUACUAUUACCCUAAGCUCUCUCUUGUCUCAAGAUCAUGGCGCUCCGCCAUAACCUCCUCUGCACUCUUCACCACCCGGUCCCUCCUCCAUACCACCCAAACCUCUCUCUACCUCAACCUCCGCGUCAACUACUCCUUCCACUGGUACACUCUCCUCUCUAAUUGCCAUAGCAGAAAAAUCCCACAAAAACCCAUUUUUCCCCUUCCCCGCAUCCCGUGUCAGCCCGUAGGACCUGCGUUCGCCGUCCUAGGCCCGAAAAUAUACGUAAUUGGGGGGUCUAUUAACGACAUUCCGUUAAAUUCGAUGUGGGUUUAUGAUUGUAGGUUUAAUAGGUGGGAGCAAGGCCCAAGAAUGAAGGUGGGACGGGAGUUCGCUGCGGCCGGGGUUGUUGAUGGGAAGAUUUAUGUUCUAGGUGGUUGUGUUGUGGAUAGCUGGGCACGGUCUGUGAACUGGGCCGAGGUUUUUGACCCGGAUACUGGGUUGUGGGCCCCGGUGCCGAGCCCUAUUGAGGUGAGGGAGAAGUGGAUGCACGCGAGCGCGGUGGUGGAGGGGAGAGUUUAUGCAAUGGCGGAUAGAGGUGGGGUGGUGUAUGAUGUUGGGCUGGGGAAGUGGGGAAACGUGUCAAAAAGGCUUGAUUUGGGGUGGAGGGGGCGGGCUGCGGUGGUUCGGGGAGUGUUGUAUUGUUAUGAUUAUUUAGGGAAGAUCAGAGGGUACGAUGUGGAGGAAGAUGUUUGGAAGGAGUUGAGGGGUGUAGGGAAAGGGUUGCCUAGGUUUUUAUGUGGUGCGACGAUGGUGAAUUUCGAUGGAAGGUUGUGUGUAGUUUGGGAGGGGAAGGGGAGCGGGAAGGAGGUGGAGAUAAUGUGUGCGGAUAUUGAAGUUUGGAAGGAUGGGGAUGGAAUGUUGAGCGGAAGGAUUUUAUGGUCUGACGUGAUUCUCACAGUUCCUAAUGGAGCUGCGAUUGUACAUUGUAUGGCAGCUGAGUUCUGAUGGUGAUGUUUGGUGCAGGAGAGUGUGAACUUUUACUUCAUUCUUUGCGAGGAAAGGGGAAAAUAGAGCGCAAAUUGGGGGAAAGGCCAUUGACGAGGGAACAUCCCUGAACCUCUGAAGCACACAUAAAAAGGAACAAGCUCGAUUGUGAAGAAAACUAUGGGGAUUGACUCUGAGAUGCUGUUCUCCUCAUUUCCCACCUCUCUGUUGAGUUAUGUACUUUAUUUUUGAUGUUGUAAUCUGGAGAUUCUGAGAUUCAGUUGAAUGGUAUACUCACAGUUGUUUUACCCAUGUAUUCAAAAUGGAUUAGAGCCAAAUUCAACACGAGCAUUUUGGAUUUGUUUGUUUUUUAAGAUAUUUUCUCGAUUGACAAAAUGGCCUUAUAAUGUGAUACUCUGCUACUUUGAUGUCCCCAUGAUGAUUGCGCUGCCAUUGCUUGAAUUUUUUUUUAGAUUUAGACAGAUUCAAUAUUUUUUUAACAUUGCUGUAGUUUAGUCUUGAUUGUCCAUUCUGGAUCAGUGAUGUUAAUGUUUUUACUGCGUUAUCUAUCUGAAAUCCAGUUGAGGAUAGACUUACUUCCUGAGAUCCAGUCCAUUUUUUAUUGAGCAUCAUUAAUUACCACUCAUGGAUUAUAUUGCAAAUGUGAGAUACUACCCUCCUUGCCUUUUGUUUGUCCCGGGUUUUCUUAACAAUCCGGUCCCAGAAGUGAGCAUUUGAAUUUAUCAUGAAAGUUCAAUUUAUACGAUUGCUUUUGCUUGUUAUAUGAUGACUUUAUAGUAUGGAAUUGCGUGUGUAGUCAGCUACCUUACACUUUUUCUUUCCCUCUGUUUCAACUCUUAGAAUUUUGGUCCUCUUUUAUUUUUGAGUCAUUCUGUCAUGUUGUUACUUGUCCUUGGUGUUCAAAAUUUGUUCUUGAAGGUGAUAAUAUCGUAUAUGUUUUUGCAGCUACUAUUUGUAAUUUGCAGACGACUAUUAAGUGAUAAGUCUUAGAUGAGAACAUAUACUCCAUUUGAGUUCAUUUGUUGGAGCUUUGGUUCAUUUUCAAGUCAUUUUCUCCCGUUGCCAUCUGUCAUUGGCAUUCACAAUUACCUUUAAGGGAAUGAGAAAUUCUGUUUUGCUUGUGAGGUCAUUCAUUUCAAAAGGCUGAUGAUCAUUGAAGUGCCAGGCUUCUUUUAUGGAACUUUGUUUCCAAAGCUGGUAGCUUCACAUCUGUUCUUCUUCCCCUUCAUGAUUCUCACUGCAAUCGAUUUUUCCAACUACUCCAGUUGAGAAGCAGGUGAUAAAUUGCUCCUUAGCAGAAUGAUGCUACUGGUAGUUUCUUCUAGCUCAGAUUGUGUGACGGAGCAACAUUGGGGUAGCCAUCCAGCUGCUUCAGAUUCUCGAAAGUGCCGAGGUGUAUUGCGUAGUCCGAGUCACCACCAUCUGGGGUACAUUGGCAGAUAAUUUGCUGGCCAAGUUUGCUACAGCCCAUCUGGAAAGUAAUCUGUAUUUAUAUUCGGCCGCAUUCCCGACACUGUCUAGAUUCUGUAAUGUUAUUAUGUGUAUAUACCAUAUAGGGUUCAUCUGCAGCUGGCAAUGUAAGUUGGACCAGUCCUGCUUCUUGUAUGUACCUUUCUUUUCCCGUCUGAUUUGAAAUUAAUUUACUGUGCUCGCAUAGACCGGUUGGAUAUCAGAUAAAGUUCAGUUCAUGUGUUUUAUUCGUGUAUGGUACUAUAAAUUCUACUCCCUUGGUUAUUGGUUUCAGCAUUGUC